ensembl:lncRNA
AGAAAAUUGAGGUUCUGAACAACUUGAAGAACCUUUAAUUUUUUUAAACAAUAAACAUGGAGAGGCUGAAAAGAAGUUUAGCCAGUUUUAUAUUGAUUUAUAUUUAUAUGGCAAUAUUUAUAUAGUGAUUUUUAAUCAUUAAUGCCAUUUGACUGCUGUACAUAUUUUUUAUUUUUCUCUCAUCAUAAAAUAAAUGAAUAAACAGUUUUUAUAUAUUUAUUUUAAGGUGUGUAUGUAUAUUCUUGACCCCUGAAAACAACAAAAACAGUUUGUGUUGUUUUCAAUUUUUUGUGUUGGUCCUGAUGGAAGUAACAGCUGCUGAAACUGCCACGUUCCUCCAGUGGACUUCUGAAGAAGGAAGAAAAGAAUAAGGAGGAUCUUGUGGAAUGAUUUGAUAGACACUGAGGUGAGAAGAAAGAGGAUAGAGACAAUUACGAGUAAUACACAGAACCUUUCAAAAAGUAAUUUUGUCAACUGUUGUAAUGAUCAACUAUUAUUGUUGUUCCAAACAUUACUUAAAUUACUCUGAAAACAUUUUUGGCCUGCAUGGAAGAAAAUUAGCUAAAGCAAAGCAGGACAUGAAGAGAAAGAAAGCCGGCUUCCUCUCUGUAAUGUAAUGUAUCCUGUGAUGGACUGGCUCUGUGUCCAGGGUCUUUGCUUGCUUAUGGCCCGAAACACUGGGAUCGUCUCCAGAAUCCCUGCAACUCACAUAGCACAAGCGGUUUGGAAAAUGUAGUGUUUUAUGUUUGUUUGUUUGCAAAUUAACACAUAUUUCAUCUUUAUAUACAAUCUACUGUAUGUAAAAAGUAUAUGAAGGAUAGUUUUCAGCUUCUGAUGUUGUUUAGUUUUUAUGCUUUGAUUGUUUUAUCUCUAUUUUAUCUUAGUUUUAAUUCAUGUUGAUUAACUCUGAAAAACCAUGCAAUUAAUUGUGAUUAAAUAUGUUAAUCAACUGAUUAUAAAUUGAAACCAAGCAUUUAAAGAUUUAAUAAUCCUCAAUUUGACUGCAAAAUGAAUUAAAGACUUAUAUUGAUAAUUAUUAUAUGCUGUACAUCUCUCCAGCUUACCUGUAUACGUAAGAACGUGAUCUUCUGCCAGCAACAUCAGGCCAAUCUGCUGCUGUCCAGAAUCAGGUGGUUUGUCUUCGUCUGGCAUCUCAGCUGAGACCUGUCCACUAUGGGAGACCCUACCAGUAGUUGUGAAGUACCAGUGGCGUAGCUCUCAGCAUCACUGAUGCACACAAGCCCUCACAGCACGUCAAGCUGCAAACCGUGUGAGGGACCCUAACCUACUCUAACCCAACUGUUAAAACCAACUGCAAAUCAACUAACCACUCAUAACUAACAACCACGCAUAACCAACAACCACAUAGCAAUGCAUGAAAAACACUCGGAGGAGGCCAGCAACUGCAAAACAACAUCCUAACAACUGAACAGAGAACCUUGGCAAGACCAUGUGAACGCAUAGAAAACCACUCAAAACAUCCUGACAACCAUGUAGCAAAGUGUGAAAAACCAGAACAUGUGCUGAAAAUUUACUCUACAGAAUAUAAACUUACAAAUGAAACUUACUCUACAAAAAAAAAGCUUACUCUACAAAUAAAACUUACUCUACAAACUAUAAACUUACUCUAUAAUUAUAUACAAUAUAUACAGUAUUUGAACCUAUGCUCCAUGUGACACUGUGAUGACUCAGUGUCUGGGCUUCUUUCUUCUGGGCUCCUCAGGCAGGGGCUCUUCGCUGAUGUCCACGUGAAUUUGAGGGGCGAAGCUUCUGUUGUUUGUGGAGAAGCUUUCAGUGAUCAGGAUGCGUCCAUCAGGCUGUUCUGUCUCUACCAGUGAGGGGCAGUUGAGUGUCUUCCACAGACGCUGCUUAAUCUUCAGUCCCAGCUCAAGGCUGUAGGGACGGCGUCG